UACGUAGGGCGCAAGCGUUGACCGGAAUUAUUGGGCGUAAAGAGCUCGUAGGCGGCUUGUCGCGUCGGUUGUGAAAGCCCGGGGCUUAACCCCGGGUCUGCAGUCGAUACGGGCAGGCUAGAGUUCGGUAGGGGAGAUCGGAAUUCCUGGUGUAGCGGUGAAAUGCGCAGAUAUCAGGAGGAACACCGGUGGCGAAGGCGGAUCUCUGGGCCGAUACUGACGCUGAGGAGCGAAAGCGUGGGGAGCGAACAGG
rnacentral:rRNA from 1 species